rnacentral:rRNA from 1 species
CCUACGGGAGGCAGCAGUGAGGAAUAUUGGUCAAUGGGCGCUAGCCUGAACCAGCCAAGUAGCGUGCAGGAUGACUGCCCUAUGGGUUGUAAACUUCUUUUAUACGGGAAUAAAGUGCAGCACGUAUACUGCUUUGUAUGUACCUCAUGAAUAAGGAUCGGCUAAUUCCGUGCCAGCAGCCGCGGUAAUACGGAGGAUCCGAGCGUUAUCCGGAUUUAUUGGGUUUAAAGGGAGCGUAGGCGGGUUGUUAAGUCUGUUGUGAAAGUUUGCGGCUCAACCGUGAAAUUGCGGUUGGUACUGGCUUCCUUGAGUGCAGUGAAGGUAGGCGGAAUUCGUGGUGUAGCGGUGAAAUGCUUAGAUAUCACGAAGAACUCCGAUUGCGAAGGCAGCCUACUGGAGUGUUACUGACGCUGAUGCUCGAAGGUGUGAGUAUCGAACAGGAUUAGAUACCCUGGUAGUC